CCCAGCAGGAGGUCGCAACAAUGCUCCUCACGGCGCGGCCAACCAGCCCAUCGAUGCUGUCUCGAACACCCGCUGGUACGCUGUGCCCCUAUCCGUCCGCAUCGCCACCGACGAGGAGGAUUUUUGUGACCUGAGCCUAAUCCACCUGGUUCGGCCGUCAAUCUCUACUUCCCGUUGGUCCUCCUCCUCCCCCGUUUGUUGCACCCUGUGGGACCAUGUCAUGCUCGGCUGCCGCAGUCGGAGACUAAGAAAGCUACGGUGGCCCUCCACUUUUUCUCCGGCAACCAUGCACUGUGAUGAUGUUCUGUUCCACCUCGCCUCCCCUGCCAUGUGGACUGCCUCCUUGAUUCCCAGGUACUGCCCCAUCUGCUCUCUUUCCAUAGUUAUGUGGUAAUAUGUUUGUAGUUUAGUUGAUGAUUGAUGCGCAUAGAAGGGUAAGAGGAGUCAAGGAGAAAAUGAAGUCAUUGCAUAGAGCUUCAUAAUGAUUUCCAACUGGUCUGUUGCAUCUUCUCUGCAGUUUCCGAUGUUUCAUGUCUGAAUAGCCUAUGAUUUCUAUAGCUGUUUAUUGCUGAUUUCUUUACUGAUUUAAGCUAACAAUUCUCAUGAUAUUUGUGAUUCAGCAGGACCUAUCUUUUCCACAUACUUUCUAUGUUUCAUGAGAUUUGGCGAUUCAGUUAUAAGCCUGGUACUUUGAAAAAUGCACAGAACAGCCAUGGUGAUGUGCCAUUUUGGUUUAUUGAGAAUUUCAUGCAGUGGAUGGCAUGUCACCACGUUCUUCUCUCCUGGACCCUUUGUCCUUGGGCUGCAAGCUCCUGCGACACGGAUGUCGCCUUCAGGCUUCACAGGAAGCACAACAAAAGGAAAGAUGGUUUUUAGAAAAACAGGGGGCCAAAUUCCCCCCAGCCCCAUUUUAUUGGAAAUGAAGCCAGGGAUUACUCCAACAUUCCAGAUGGCUUCGAUUUGAUUAUUUCAUCAACCACUUAAACAAGAUGUGUGGAAAUGUCACCAAGGUCAUCUUCUCUGCACACCCUGAGCAGCACCAACACGUCAAGUAUGCCUAGACAAAGGGCAGUCGCACUGGUUGGGUGCAGAUUUUACAAGUGUCUGGGAUUCUCGCUCUUCUCACAGGUUGUACGCCAUGCAGCUUGUGGAAUAGUGUCAAGUCUCAUAGUAGUGCUACUCCAUAUAUGAAAACUUCAGUCUCCUAAUCGCACAUACCAUACUGUCCGAUGCGUUUCCAAGCCUGCGAUGCAGCAGUGCAAGCAACAAGCAUGGUCUCUGGCAUUGAGUUGGAGCACACUGAUGCUGCACUUAAAUGUUCUAUGCAGUCAGUCAACUAUGCAACUUUCCUUUUUAUAAAGUUGGUGGACUGAGUGAAGCAACAGAUAGGCACAAGAAGAAGAGGUGCAAUACCUUUCAUUUGAUAGUGGUUUAACUUUUUUCCUCGUGAGGCAUGGAAACUUAGAACCUCUAAAUUAAAUGUGGUCGUUUAUGCUUUUGCAACACCUCUCUAAUUUCCUAUCAUGCUAAAAAAAUGCUAUCUGCCAAAACAGUUAAUGUUCUCUGAUCAUGAUAUCUCUACAAUUCUACGCAUGAAUAUUCUUCCUGAAGGCAAUCUAAUACGAAAGCUGAUACACAUUGGAAGUAGUAGUCUGAAGGAAUCAAAAGUUACUAUUGGGCAAGAAAAGGUAGCCAGCGAUUUACAAAGGUUCUUGGCAUGCCUGAAAUUUAUGCGGCUACCAAAAGUAUAAAGAACAAUAUAAGCUGCUAGGAAUUAGUGGCGGCAAUUUUUCUCCUUUUAUAGAUGGUGUGUCUUGUUCUUCGUUUCUAGGUUCCUAGGAUGUUAUAUGAGCUAUUUUGUCCCUUGUAGCAUGUCUCCCUCAAAGCCGCUGCUCCCUGAAUUGAUGAGAAUUUUUAAACCAUCAUGUUGCACGCAAACCAAUUCGGUAUAGUUGAUUGGUUCAUAUUGUUACUUUAAUCUAUCAGUGUUCCAUGGAAAUCAAAAUCAGCAGUCUUAUGUACAGGAGAAGGAACCUAUCACCCUAGGCAAGCUCGGUAAAAUAUAAUCUUCUUGUGCUAUUCUCUGUGUUGUUUCCAAUGAUAAUGGUUCAGCUUGACAAACUAUAUUUGUUACUAGAAAUGAUUAUUACCUGCAACAUUGGUCUGCAUUAGCUGAAAUUUAUUCGUGCCAAUGAAAGGGUGAUUUUUUUUUGGUUGACUUAGCUUUUGUGAACUCCUUUUUAUUUCUUACAU